UACGGAGGGGACUAGCGUUGUUCGGAAUUACUGGGCGUAAAGCGCACGUAGGCGGAUUUGUAAGUCAGGGGUGAAAUCCCGGGGCUCAACCUCGGAGCUGCCUUUGAUACUGCAAAUCUCGAGUCCGGAAGAGGUGAGUGGAAUUCCUAGUGUAGAGGUGAAAUUCGUAGAUAUUAGGAAGGACACCAGUGGCGAAGGCGGCUCACUGGUCCGGUACUGACGCUGAGGUGCGAAAGCGUGGGGAGCAAACAGG
rnacentral:rRNA from 1 species